rnacentral:rRNA from 1 species
GCCUACGGGGCGCAGCAGUGAGGAAUAUUGGUCAAUGGGCUAAGGCCUGAACCAGCCAAGUCGCGUGAGGGAAGACGGUCCUAUGGAUUGUAAACCUCUUUUGUCGGGGAGCAACGAGGCCACGUGUGGCCGAAGUGAGAGUACCCGAAGAAAAAGCAUCGGCUAACUCCGUGCCAGCAGCCGCGGUAAUACGGAGGAUGCGAGCGUUAUCCGGAUUUAUUGGGUUUAAAGGGAGCGUAGAUGGGUUGUUAAGUCAGUUGUGAAAGUUUGUGGCUCAACCAUAAAAUUGCCGUUGAAACUGGUUG